UACGAAGGGGGGCGAGCGUUGUUCGGAUUUACUGGGCGUAAAGGGUGCGUAGGCGGUUGUUUAAGUUUGGUGUGAAAUCUCCCGGCUCAACCGGGAGGGUGCGCCGAAUACUGAAUGACUAGAGUGCGGGAGAGGAAAGUGGAAUUCCUGGUGUAGCGGUGAAAUGCGUAGAUAUCAGGAGGAACACCGGUGGUGUAGACGGCUUUCUGGACCGUAACUGACGCUGAGGCACGAAAGCGUGGGUAGCAAACAGG
rnacentral:rRNA from 1 species